rnacentral:lncRNA from 1 species
UUUAUGAACUGUUUGAUCAAACUUGUCAUUAACCAAGUGAAACAUUUAAUUUGUAUUAGCAAAAAUGGGACAAAUAAUUAGGAUGGGGGUUACCCAUUUCACUUUUUUCCUUUGGCAUUUUAUAUUUAUCAAACCUGUUCAUCGUUGAUUAAACUUUUCAGGGGAUACACUACGGUUUCUCCCAAAACGAUGGGAAUAUUUUAAGAGAAUACUUAUGAUCUUGUGGUCAUUAAACAAACCAACCAAAUCCAUGCCAGUAACUGGGCCUUGUAGCUGCUAACCUGCAUUCACCACCUUCAUUAGAUGAGAACAAGCCAGCAAAAAGGAACGAGACUUGUGAGAGCAUUCUAGUUGUGCCUACAUUAAAUAGCUAAGGAAUUUUCUCUUUUCUCUUAGUUUUCAGUGCUGGAAACCAAACUCACACUACUCAAGCGCUGUACCUCAGAGUCCCUAUUUUCAGUUUUAAACAACACUGAUAUUAGAUCGUGACAUCUAAUCACACGCUAACAAACGGCACAUGUGUCACAGAGCUCUCCUCUCCUCACAUUUGCGUGCAAUGUCUAUUUCGUUUUUUCUCCUCCAAGUUGCUAUUUAUAUAACACGGAUUGGAGGUGGAAAUAAGCCUGUUGGUUAGGAUUUGUGCUCUUGGGAAAACCUAAGUCAUCAUUUCAGGCAGUUGUAUGACCGUGACCUCAUGGGCACUUGUCGGUAUAGUUAUGACAAUUUGUUAAUGAACUGUUUUUUGUUUUUAAUUGCUUACUUAAUUAUAGGGCAUCAGUAUAAUAGCAUUUCUAAGUUGCAUCAUAAUUGCAUUCAGAGAUGAAAUGUUGGUGGCUAUCAUUUGCUUGCUUCUAAUCAUUUCUUGUUGGUGGAAAAUUUUCCAAAGGGACAUCUUCUUAAACAUGAUGAACUGGUAACCAGCUAUCUGAAAUGUACUUCCCUUAAGCCCGACUGUGUUUGUAAACUAACUUUAGUCUCAUCUGACUCACUGAAUUCACAAACAAUUGCACAUAUAAAGAUAUAUAAAUGUGUUUAAUGUGUUUAAUGAGCACUUAAGUGUGCUCUUGUUUCAGUAACAUAAAGGUCAGAGAUAUGAAGAAAUAAUUGCUGCUGCCUACAUAGAAAUCAUUAGCAUUUUUCACAUGUUUGACUCUGACAGUCUCAAAGAACACUUUAUAAAAAUAGUUCACUGAAAGGGUAUGGCGUUUUCUACACAGCUGUGAUAGUGUUCCAGCACCUAUAUGGAACAUGUAGCUCUCAGUGUUGUCUCAGAUGGUGGGAGUUUGAUUUUGGUAUGUUACUAAUUCUUCAGGUGAAAUGAGGCCCGCUACUCUUUCACGAUAUGAUGCUAUUAUUAAUCUGAGAACACUCCUUUCUUGGCAUGAGUCAAGUUAGCAAAAGUCAGAGAAUUUAGCCCAAUCUCUUAUAAGAUAAAGGAUGACAGAGAACUACGUUUUAAAAGGAGAGCCUUGGCAGAGGCUACUGUGGUCGAAAUGGACCUGUGCCUUCAGUGAAGUUUCUUCUUUACAGUUUAUAGUUGGCUCUCAUGGAAAAACAUUUUCAAUGCAAAACAUUAGUUAUGGGCCCAACAGCAGAGUUCAAACUAUGCAUAGCUGAAGUACAUCCCCCCCCCCCAAAAAUACAAGUAUGAGCCUGCUCAUUGUCACCUACACAAAGAACUGAGUCCCAAAAUCCUUUACUCAACUAAAUUCUUAAUAAGUAAACUGAGACGAACCCUCUAAUACCAGAUUUGUUAAACAACAUGAUUUAGGGCCUUGCUAUUCAUGCACCUUGUAGGACGAAAAUGACUGGGGAAGCUAGAAUCAUGAAAGAGUCAUUUUAUGUAGCUGCUAAAUUCCUCUCAAAUCUCCUUGCAACUUAACGAGCAAAGAAAGCUCAAUGUGUAAUGCCGGCUAAUGUGGUUUAUGUAGAAAAUAGUAUCAACCUAUCUUUGUAGCUUAUCUAAGCCAGGAUAAUACUUUUAGCCUUUAUAGUAGACCCAACUCCAGUUUUUCAACUCUUGACUAUGUAUUUCCUGAAACCCUUUUCCAAAGAGUUAAAUUGGAUGUGAAAUCUGUACCAGGCUAUCCAGCUGCCUUUGUUCUAAGUCUCGCCAGCCGAGCCGAGCCUCUCUAUCACUUUCAUUGCGUUCUGAUUGAGCUUGACAGUGUGACAGGAAAGCAAAGGGGCACAAUUCCAAACUGAAUGAGAGUCUUUUUCAGCCACACAGCAGCCUCCUCCUUAGCCCCUAAGAAAAAGAGGUAACAGAUGCCGAGAGCAAAGCAUCCCCCACAAAGUCCUAACUUUGAUGCGGGCAGAACAAGAAUUAAAAAAAAAAAAAGGAAGGAAGGAA